UUGUUAUCUUCGUCUGUAUAAAAUGGAGUGGGAAUAUUCCGUUGCCUUCGGACUCAUGCGUCUGGAAAAGACGAGCAAGUAUCGCAGGCGAAAGGUACUUGGCUCGCUAAGACCUGAGAAAGUUAUAUUGCCGACAUAUAUUUUUUCUCAGGGAGAAAGUUCUGAGAAUGCAAUACUUCAGAGGAGAGUACAACGUGGGACGAGUAAUUGAAGGUUCCUGGAUUAUCGGAAUGUUUCAGAGGGAAACAAAAGAAUUUCGACUCGAAAUAUGGCCAGAGAACAAACGAUCUGCAGAUACUCUAAUACCACUGAUUAAGGAAUACGUUGCGGAAGGUACCACCAUAAAAACUGAUGAAUGAAGGGCGUAUUCAUCAUUAUCCAGGCACGGAUAUUAUGUGCACUAGACUAUGAACCACACAAGGAAUUUUGUGAAUCCGGUGACUGGUGGACAUACCCAGUGCAUAGAAUUCAACUGGCGACUGCUGAAAGCCAAACUCCAAGAAAGCGGUCUCCAUAAAGAAAACCUUGCUGAUCAUCUACUGUAUUUAUUUCGGCGUGAAGUGAAACGCAGUGGUUAGGAUAUAUUCUUGGAAAAUUUAGAUGCGGUCAAAGACUGUUUCCCGAUUGGAAGUGAGAUAUUGUACUUUGCAACAAGGUGUAGUGGGGGCAGGUUGGUUAUACCGAGAACAUGGAACAUGGAUGCAUUAUGAUCUUUUUUCUUGAAAUUUGAUGGGUCUGUAUUUGCAUUAUGUGAAGAUGAAAUGGUGCAAGCAGAAGAUGAUAAAAUGUUUGGAAAUGCAAGAAUUUUUAUGUGAUGUUUUAACACUAUUUGAGUGUGGAAAUUUUUCUGUAAUGGCUUGUUAAGAUGCAAGAAAAUAUUCAGGAAGUGAAGAGAGUAAAUUUUGAUAGAGCUUUUGAUGAAUCAUUAGGCAUGACUUAGGCUGUUAGAGGGCAGUGACAUCGAAAAUACCAUGAUACCACUGUAAUGAAGCUGGUAUUAAAAUUUGCAAAUACAAGCAGUGUUGUGAGAGUGCAGCAUGAGUUCAAAUGAAACUUUGUUAUUGAUCCACCCACAUACAAAUCUAUUUUGAAGUAAUAUAGCAUUUAAUGAGACAGUGUGCUUUGUGAUUAAUAUUCUGGCCAACUUUCCAUCUCAGAAAAAAUUGUGGAGCCAGUGUACACAGCCCAAAGAAGCCAACAUAUAAAGCCAGCAGAGAGUUACAGGUGCCACAAACAACAGUGUGCAAGCUGUUAAGUAAACGUUGAGGUUUCACCUGUGCCAACUGCAAUUGGUUCAUAAGUUAAACCAAUACCUUCUUAAAAUUUAUUAUUCGUAACUCGAGGCAUUCUCCAUGAAUUAGAAAAAUACGCUUCUCAAUAUAAAAAGAAAAUAAUUCAGUUUUUAUUUGAGAAGCUAUCAUUGCUCUUUUUGCAUAAAAAUAAUAAGACAUAUAGUUUGAUCUGUUAAUAAAGUUUGAUGCAACAGUUGUACAAGUAUAUGAAGCAUGGGUUCACUCUCUUUCACUAAUUUUAAAGUCUACCAUUCAUGGUGAAAUUACGAUAAGUCAGACUGAAUGUGAACAAAAAGAUGGAUGUUGACAUAGAAGAACCAGAAGUAUCUGGAUUCAAACUUAUUUUUAAGUGUAUAAGACAUUGCAAAUAUUAAAGCUACUCCACUGACGUAUAUAGUGUGUUAUUGUGUACAUUCUGUGAUGAAAAAAUUAGAUUGUACAUUUUGUAAAAAUCAUUUGUUAGUAUCAAAAGAAUUUGAUUUCAUGUGAACUGCUAAAAUGUUUAGACUAUGGGAGGCUGAAAUAUCGCAUGAUGAAGUUAUCACUAUUAUUAUAUCUAAUUACAUUCUCAUAUAUAUUAUCUUUUGAAAAUAAAUCUAUUGUUUUGAAAUGUAAAAA
rnacentral:lncRNA from 1 species